GGUAUGAAACCAGAGGAGAGAGUAAUGAUCAUUGGUAGCUCCACUAGACCUUUUGAUGCUGAUGUUAAAGGAUUAUGUGGCAUGUAUCAAAGAAUCAUAAUGAUACCAAGACCUGACUAUGGAUCAAGAGUCUUGCAGUGGAAGAGUCUUAUAAUGAAGCAUGGCGAAAUUAUAAUUAAAUGAUAGGCAGAACCCUAAUCUUCAGUGUUGAUGCAAAUUAAUACUUAGAACCUUGUUACUAAAAAUAAUCUAC